GGAGUAGGAGGAGGCGCCUUUUCAGCCUGUACCCCAAAGUGAGCUGAUUACCUACCAAAGAACUCCGAUCACCCAUGAAAUCAGCCUGAGAUCAGAAUUAUACACGUCUGGAUCUCUAUAGGGGCAGAAGACACCAGUGGGCAGACAUAGGUUCAGAGGAUUGAAGAGGGAGAUCCAAGGAGCUAGCCUCUCAAGAGGAGUGAAUACCUAGUCACUGGAAAAUUUCCAGUUCUCAGUAUAACUGCCCACUGGCCCAGGGGUGGACAAGUGAGUCAGAUGAGACCAAAAUGAAAAUUCUGUUGAGACACUGGACCUUGAGGAUUCAAGCCAAGGACGAAAAAGUGUUGGUACUCCAUUAUUCUGAUGGUCCAUUAACUCUUGCUUUUUUGGUUCCUGUGUCUAUCACAGCCCCUGCCUUUUUGAAGAUAAUGACCACUCAUCUGAGUACACAGUUCACAGAAUCCCUUUGCAGUGGCCCAUGCGGGCCAAGGUAGUAGAGCAUAAUAGAUCUCUGUAAGUUUUUGAAAAAUGUCUUUGUCCCUGUUGCCCAUGGCCAUUAAAAACAAAAGGUCGGGGGUAGGCGAAUAUUGGAAAAGGUGAAGUUAUGGCUACUCACUGAUUUUGUGAUUGGUAGAGAGAAAGAAACACCUACAUACAGGGCCAGUGGGUGAGUGGAGGAAACAUCUUUGGCUCUAGGAGGAAUGGGGGAAGGAGAAAUAUUAAUAAUCUUUGUCUUUGGAACUGCCCCUGAAGACUUCCCCACACAGGAAAAUGACCUAUUGUGACUCUCCUAAACUUCGGCAAGCCCCUUAAAUUUAACUGACAUCUAGAUCUGAUACUCCCUGCUGGAUAACUCUGAUCAUUAUUUGGUUGUUACUUAUUUUAUUUUAAAAUUAUUUUUAAAGAAAAUUUUAAUCUAAAUACAAUUAAUUAACAUAUAAUACUAGUUUCAGACAUACAGGUUAGUGAUUCAUCAGUCUUUUAUAACACCCAGUGCUCACUGUAUCACAUGCCUUCCUUAAUGUCCAUCACCCAGUUACCCCAUCCACCAAUCCCCCUCCCCUCCAAGAACCCUCAGUUUGUUUCCUGUGAUUAAGAGUCUCUUCUGAGGGGUACCUGGCUGGCUCAGUGGGUUAAAGCCUCUGCCUUCAACUCAGGUUAUGAUCUCAGGGUCCUGUGAUCGAGCCCCACAUCAGGCUCUCUGCCUCCUGAGGAGUCUGCGUCCUCCUCUCUCUCUCUUCCUGCCUCUCUGCCUACUUGUGAUCUCUGUCAAAUAAGUAAAUAAAAAUAUUUUUUUUAAGUCUCUUCUGGUUUGUCUCCCUCUUUGACUUCAUCUUGUUUUAUUUUUUUCCUUUCCUCCCCUAUGAUACUGUUUUGUUUCUUAAA